rnacentral:tRNA from 3 species
GCAAACGUAGCUCAACUGGACGGAGCACUCAAUUUUUAGAGGAGGGAUUGCAGGUUCAAACCCUGCCGUUCUGCC